GCCAGGUGUGGUGGCUCACGCCUGUAAUCCCAGCACUUUGGGAGGCUGAGGUGGGUGGAUCACCUGAGGUCAGGAAUUCGAGACCAGCCUGGCCAACAUGGUGAAACCCCAUCUCUA
rnacentral:SRP_RNA from 2 species